rnacentral:rRNA from 1 species
UACAUGUGGGGCAAGCGUUGUUCGGAAUUACUGGGCGUAAAGGGUGCGUAGGCGGCUUGUUAAGUCACUGGUGAAAGUUUUCGGCCCAACCGGAAAAUUGCCUGUGAUACUGGCGUGCUGGAGUGCGUGAGGGGUGGGGGGAACGAGCAGUGUAGCGGUGAAAUGCGUAGAUAUUGCUCGGAAGGCCGGAGCCGAAGGGGCCCCACUGGUACGUAACUGACGCUGAGGCACGAAAGCGUGGGGAGCAAACAGG